AAGCCGUCAGAGCCUUCGACUUUGUUGUGGGGUGAUGGCGUGCCUUUUGAAGAAUGAGCCUGCGAGUCAGGGACAUGUCGCGAGGUUAACCCGAGUGGGGUAGCCGUAGCGAAAGCGAGUCUGAAUAGGGCGUAUCCACACAACAGUGUGUGGUGUAGUGGUGUGUUCUGGACCCGAAGCGGAGUGAUCUACCCAUGGCCAGGGUGAAGCGCGGGUAAGACCGCGUGGAGGCCCGAACCCACUUAGGUUGAAGACUGAGGGGAUGAGCUGUGGGUAGGGGUGAAAGGCCAAUCAAACUCCGUGAUAGCUGGUUCUCCCCGAAAUGCAUUUAGGUGCAGCGUCGCGUGUUUCUUACCGGAGGUAGAGCUACUGGAUGGCCGAUGGGCCCCACAGGGUUACUGACGUCAGCCAAACUCCGAAUGCCGGUAAGUCCAAGAACGCGGCAGUGAGACGGCGGGGGAUAAGCUCCGUGCGUCGAGAGGGAAACAGCCCAGAUCGCCGGCUAAGGCCCCUAAGCGUGUGCUAAGUGGAAAAGG
rnacentral:rRNA from 1 species